UCAAUUUCAGUGAUGCACAGAGGGUAACUUAUGGAUUCUAGUAGCAUCUCUCUGAGUGUCUGGGAUGAGUCCUCUCAACUAGAUCUAGUAGAUACCUCCUCAUCGCAACGGCAGGAGCCUACCAGUUCAGCGAUUGUGCCGCAGGAAACCGUCGGUGCUUCACGGUAUCGCGAGUUUAUCGAUAGAGUUUUAUGGAACGGAGGAUCGUCUUUCGAUGCCUGGCUCAACGCAGCGUCUUUUCAGGUUCGUGUGAGCUUUCUUUCUCCAGGUUCUUCUCACCGCUUUGUUCUUGCAGGUGUCUCAAGUCUUGCUCAAUCUCCCAUUCACAUUCGCUCAGAUGGGAAUGGCAUCAGGCAUUACUUUCCAAUUGCUCUAUGGCAUGAUGGGGUCCUGGGUUUCUUACAUCAUGACCAGCGUGUACCUCACUUAUCUAGCAACGCAAGGCUCGCAGCAGAAGAAAAACCACGUUGUUCAGGUUUGUAUCAGUGCGAUCUCGCAGAGUGCUCUUGGUUGACAUUCCCUUCCAGUGGUAUGAAGUUAUGGAGUUUUUCCUCGGGCCUUGGGGCAAGGGAGCGACAUUGCUAUUAUACUUUUGCGGCUUGUCUUCCGCUGCCAUGAUCCAAAUGGUAGCCUGUGCGAGGUGUGCUUGAUUUUCUAAUGCUUUUCAAUUCUCUGCCUUUAUCCUGGAUAGCAUUGCAGUGCCGCGUACUAUAUCAAUGAUAAUCUGGACAAACGGACAUGGACCCUUGUCCUGGGGCCGUUCAUGUUUCUGGGUGUUUUGCUCCCCUCGCCGCGUAAUUAUCGGAUGUGGUCUUUUGCUGGGAUUAUCAUGACGACAUAUGUGGCUUGGUAUUUAACCAUUGCUGCAGCAGUCCACGGGAGAGUAAGCCGUUUGACAAUGCUAAAGUCACUGUGCUGAAUCUUGGGAAUUUGCAGGAUCCGGGGGUGAAGCACACUGGUCCUCAUAGCCUGGAAAACUAUUUUUUGGGCGCAUCUAACAUAAUCUACACAUUUGGAGGACACGGACUGACAGUGUACGUCUUCAUAUUCCUUUCUUUCUGCAUUUAAGUUCUCUUAACGGUUUGACAAUGUUGUUUUCGUUACCGUGCCAACAGUGAACUUGCAGGGUCAAUGUGGAAGCCAAGAGAUUUCAAGCGAGUGUAUUUUUAUGCUGUCUUAUAUACUCUCACCUUGACGCUACCAUCUGCAUCAACUGUAUACUGGGCUUUUGGCGAUAGGAUGCUGCACAACGCUAACGCCUUCGCUGUUCUUCCCAGGACGAAGUUCCGCGAUGCCGCGGUAGUGCUGAUUAUCAUCCACCAGGUUUGUCAAAGAGUGUUUAUCCUUUUUUCUUUGUGUGUGCCAUUGUUCUAACUCUUUUAUCUUGCAGUUCUUUGAAUUUGGUCUCGUAGCGUUGCCAUUCUUCAUUAUGUGUGAGAAGCUUUUUGGGAUUCACCACUCGAAUUACUACCUGUUAAAAGUGGCUGCCAGGAUACCGGUUUUUCUCCUCAUAUGGUUUUGUGCGAUUAUGCUGCCUUUCUUUGGUCCCAUCGACUCCUUCAACGGUUCCUUUUUUACAACGCUCGCUGUUUACUUCCUUCCAUGCCUUGUGCAUAUGAUCGUCUUCAGAAGUGAGAAGGCACGCAAGGUAAAUGGUUUUUGUUUCCCUUUGCAUGUUGGUAACUUAACAAUGGCUUUUUGUUUUCUUAAAAGAGUUCAUUUGAGCAACCUCCAUUCUGGAUACGCAGCUGGGCUGGAAUGUAUUGCAUCAAUCUGGGAGUGAUUUUGUGGGUGGUGGUGGUGGGUGUUGGGAUUGGAGGAUGGGCAACGAUUUCCAAUUUGACAAGACAAGUGCGAAGCUUUGGGCUUUUUGCGAGGUGUUACCAGUGUCCACCAAAGUCUUGACGUCAGGAAGUUUUUUAGUGGAAGAGGUUCUUCCUGUAAACAAACCAUAUAUUACGUGGUCGCAUGUCCGCGGGUUCGAUCCCCGGCAACGGCGGAUUAACAAUCCGUGGUAACAACUCCCAAGCCCGAGGGACCAUCGGUGUUGAAGAUGGAAAAGGUUCGUUGGAGGCACUCUAGUUUCAUAUUUGAUUGUGGUGGUUUGGACGUGAUCAAUUCUUGCACCCUUAUGGAUUGACACUGUAACCAACUGGACAAGUGCGUGCUCUCUCUCGCAUGCUCUCUCUCUCUCUCUUUCUCUCUCUCUCCCUCUCCCCUAUCAUGAACAAGAGCAAAGACUACGGCUUCUUGGGCUUCAAGAACACCGAGAAGUCCAUCUGCUUGUGGAUCCAGAAAAUGAAGGAUAAAAAAAUCAUACUUAGUGACUGCUUCAAGAUUGAAGUGUGUGUACAGUAAGCAGCAGCCCGUCUCUCAAUUUAUCUAUCCCUGGAAACUUCAUUCCUUGUCUGGGCUUGUUUAGAAGUCAAGUCCAUAAUCAGCUACUUGGUAGCUUCCCUUGCAUCGUACUUCUCCUCUUUUUUCAAUUUCAGUGAUGCACAGAGUAUGGAUUCUAGUAGCAUCUCUCUGAGUGUCUGGGAUGAGUCCUCUCAACUAGAUCUAGUAGAUACCUCCUCAUCGCAGCGGCAGGAGCCUGCCAGUUCAGCGAUUGUGCCGCAGGAAACCGUCGGUGCUUCACGGUAUCGCGAGUUUAUCGAUAGAGUUUUAUGGAACGGAGGAUCGUCUUUCGAUGCC
rnacentral:lncRNA from 1 species